CAGUCGCCACGGGAAUACGUAGGGUGCAAGCGUUAAUCGGAAUUACUGGGCGUAAAGCGUGCGCAGGCGGUCCGCUAAGACAGAUGUGAAAUCCCCGGGCUUAACCUGGGAACUGCAUUUGUGACUGGCGGGCUAGAGUAUGGCAGAGGGGGGUAGAAUUCCACGUGUAGCAGUGAAAUGCGUAGAGAUGUGGAGGAAUACCGAUGGCGAAGGCAGCCCCCUGGGCCAAUACUGACGCUCAUGCACGAAAGCGUGGGGAGCAAACAGGAUUAGAUACCCCUGUAGUCCCUGUCCCUUAUAC
rnacentral:rRNA from 1 species